rnacentral:tRNA from 1 species
GGCAGAGUGGCGGAGUGGUUAACGCGCUUGGCUUGAAACGGAACAUCCGUUUACACACUUCGGUGUAAAGACACCAAGUACCUUUGGGUGCGCAGGUUCGAACCCUGCCUCUGUCG